CUCCCACAUUAUGGACAUAUUAAAGGUGUUAGCAAAUACAUGUGCAGGAUUGGAGUUUCACGGGGGUUUAUAUGGGUAUUAGCCGGCUCUGGUAAUAAUGCGAGAUAAUUUCUAAAGUGUGGCAGGGUGCAUUAUCCUGCUGAAAGAGGCCACUGCCAUCAGAGAAUACCGUUGCCAUGUACGUGGUCUGCAACAAUCUUUAGGUAAACGACGCGCACAUACCCAGCUGUCCACAUGAUCUAAAAGAAAACGUGAAUCAUCAGACUAGACCACCUUCUUCCAUUGCACCAUGAUUCCAGUUCUUCUGCUCACAUGCCCAUUGUAUGCACUUUUGGUGGUGGACAGGGGUCAGCUGCUACACAACCCCAUACGCUGCAAGCUGCGAUGCACUGUGUUCUGACCCCUUUCUAUCAUGGCCAGCAUUAAUAUUUUUAGCAGUUUGUGCUACAGUAACUCUUCUGUGGGGUUGGACCAGACAGGCUAGCCUUCGCUCCCCAUGUGCAUCAAUGAGCCUUGGACCAAUUUUGGUACGUACUAACUAGAGAUGCACCGAUUGCAAUUUUCUUGCGAAGUGUGACCUGCUGAUACCGAUUUUUUCCGAUUCCAAUUUUCUUUCUAAGAACUAUUAUUGACCACAUAUACAAACAAAAUCUACCUUUCUUCAAUGCUAAAUUUUAUUUUCAUAAUAAAAUAAAUUAUUAAACAUUACAAUUUCCCCCAAACUGCACUAAGUUACAGGAUCUUCUCUCACUUAAACAACUCUCAAAAUAAAGUGCUCUGUGACUGGAAAGAGGAAGAAAUAACAAUUAACUGCAAAUAAGUUGCUUUAUAUAACAGAUGUCAUUUUCCACUAUUUUUAUAAACCGUUUUCUCUUUAUUACUCGUCUAACAAAACAAUUCCAAAGAUCUGAAAAACAGAAGUGUCCAAUACGCUCAACUUACAUUAGAUGUCCAAAUAUCAGUUGUAAAACUGAGCACCGCUUCGGGAAGGGCUUGCAUACCUGUCAACACUCCCGUUUUGUUAUUUCUCCCAAAAAAAAACACCCGUAAUUUGUAUGGCCCAAACCACGUUAUAUGAAUAAUCACAUCAAUAUAUUUUUCCAAGGUGGGCCAGAUCUUGAAUGAAACGCAUCCUACUCACACAAUCGACACAUCAUACAAAUUACAAAUCAUGUAUGACCUCAAUCUGGCAACCUACAACCCAUUUGCGCUGUUGAUAUCUGCACAGGCAGUAGACGCGGGAUGUUAAAUCAAGCAUCACUGGUAGAUGGGAGGAGAAGACUCAGCUGGUGCUCCGGUGAAAAAAGCAAAAUAUACAUGUAAAUUUAACAACAGCUGGAUGGAAUAAUUGAAUUUCAUAUCCCGAAGCCAUAUCGACCAUGCCCACGCCUUUUGCAAUGGGUGUCGCACUGAUUUUAAUAUCGGACACGGUGGGAAAAAUUACGUUACUCAGCACAUUAAAUCAACAACGGCACAAUUUGUAUGUAUUUAGCCUGCCUCUGCCAUCCAGCACCCCACUUCCCCUCUCUCGGAUUUGUGUACCCAAAUGUUGACAGAUAACAGGCUGCAUGUGACAUGACACGAGAUUAAACAACUCGGGCAACGCAACGUCGGAAAGUACCUCAUACUCUGUAUCGAGGAAAUUUAUCAGAUUUCUGAUCCCUCUGUCCUCAAAUAUGGAGAACAGCUGGUCAUCCAGGGCCAUGAAUUCCAUAAUUUUACUCGUAAUUGCUUUGGUCUUUUCGCUGCUCGUACCAAGGAAUGACAGGAGAGGCUGCUGACUUGUGACUGGCUCUGAGCUCUGGCUAGCUUUAGCCGCUUUCACGUUUUAGCUUCUUUUUUAAAAUGGGCAUUUUCAGCUGGGUGAUGGUGUUAUAAAUGUCUAAUUAGGUUUGUUGAUCUGAAAGUUAUUGUUGUGGUUCCCCCACGGUUUACUUUGGCGAACUUUAUGUAUUCUUCACUCGCACAGUGAAGAUCUUCCACGCCAAUGACAUGUUUACAUGCGGCUGUGAGGUUAUGGCCUGCGUGCUGGCAACGAAACGGACCGGCUUGGAAUCGGACAGAUGUGAGGCUGACCGGAUGGUCACCGAUCCGGGCCGAGCAUGCGGAAAAUCGUCUAAUUCCGGUCCCUGGCCGGUCGAUCGGUGCAUCUCUAGUACUAACCACUGCAUAAAUGGAACACCCCAAAAGACCUGCUGUUUUGGUGAUGCUCUGACUCAGUUGACUAGCCAUUACAAUUUGGCCCAUGUCAAAGUCGCUCAGAUCCUUAUGCUUGACAAUUUUUCAUGCUUCCAACAAAUGUAAUUCAAGAACUGACAGUUCACUUGCUGCCUAGUAUAUCCCUUGACAGGUGCCAUUGUAACGACAUAAUAUAUAUUAUUCACUUCACCUGUCAGUGGUUUUUAUGUUGUGACUGAUCAAUGCAUUUACAUAUAUAUAUUGGCAAUUCAUGUCUAUUCAAAAUGUGUUUGAAAAUAAUUAACAUAUUAGAGUCAAAACUUUCGAAUUAUUAGCUUGAAUUUUUAUGAAAGUUUAAUAAAUUGUGCUUAAAAAGUAAUAGAAAUACAUAACAGGUUUGCCUGUGAUGCUACGAUCAGUGGUUAUUGUACUACUCAAGCUUAUAGGGAGAAAUUGAGAAGCAUCUGUCAGAAAAUGCCCUUCAAUGUCAAGAUCUGAGAAAUGUUUGUGACAAACA